rnacentral:rRNA from 1 species
UACAGAGGGGGCCAGCGUUAUUCGGAAUUAUUGGGCGUAAAGGGCGCGUAGGCGGCCAUGCGUGUCUUCCGUGAAAUCCCUCGGCUUAACUGAGGACGUGCGGAAGAAACUGCAAGGCUUGAGUCCGGGAGAGGGGGGUGGAAUUCCCAGUGUAGCGGUGAAAUGCGUAGAUAUUGGGAGGAACACCGGUGGCGAAGGCGGAUCUCUGGGCCUUACCUGACGCUCAGGUGCGAAAGCGUGGGGAGCGAACAGG